AUCUUGGAUUAAGACUCAUGGCUGGCUUGGAACGAUACAGAGAAGAUUUGCAUUCCUGUGCAAGGAUAUAUGCGAAUUUGUGAAGCGUUCCAGAUGCUU
ensembl:snRNA U6 U6 spliceosomal RNA